rnacentral:rRNA from 1 species
GACGAACGCUGGCGGCGUGCUUAACACAUGCAAGUCGAACGGUAAGGCCCCAGCUUGCUGGGGUACACGAGUGGCGAACGGGUGAGUAACACGUGGGUGACCUGCCCCGCACUUCGGGAUAAGCCUGGGAUACUGGGUCUAAUACCGGAUAGGACCGCACCGUGAGGGUGUGGUGGAAAGUUUUUCGGUGUGGGAUGGGCCCGCGGCCUAUCAGCUUGUUGGUGGGGUAAUGGCCUACCAAGGCGGCGACGGGUAGCCGGCCUGAGAGGGUGGACGGCCACAUUGGGACUGAGACACGGCCCAGACUCCUACGGGAGGCAGCAGUGGGGAAUAUUGCACAAUGGGCGGAAGCCUGAUGCAGCGACGCCGCGUGGGGGAUGACGGCCUUCGGGUUGUAAACUCCUUUCACCAUCGACGAAGGUUUUCUGACGGUAGAUGGAGAAGAAGCACCGGCUAACUACGUG